rnacentral:rRNA from 1 species
GUUGUAUGGUUAAGUGACUAAGCGUACACGGUGGAUGCCUUGGCAGUCAGAGGCGAUGAAAGACGUAGUAACUUGCGAUAAGCCCAGAUUAGGUAGUAACAACCAUUUGAGUCUGGGAUUUCUGAAUGGGGAAACCCACUUACAUAAGUAAGUAUCAUUAACUGAAUACAUAGGUUAAUGAGGCGAACCGGGGGAACUGAAACAUCUAAGUACCCCGAGGAAAAGAAAUCAACCGAGAUUCCGAAAGUAGCGGCGAGCGAAAUUGGACUAGCCCUUAAGCUUUACACGCGUUAGACGAACGGUCUGGAAAGUCCGACGAUACAGGGUGAUAGUCCCGUAGUUGACGACGUGUGUUCAGUGAAAUCGAGUAGGGCGGGACACGUGAUAUCCUGUCUGAAUAUGGGGGGACCAUCCUCCAAGGCUAAAUACUACUGACUGACCGAUAGUGAACCAGUACCGUGAGGGAAAGGCGAAAAGAACCCCUGUGAGGGGAGUGAAAUAGAACCUGAAACCGUGUACGUACAAGCAGUAGGAGCAGGCUUUGUCCUGUGACUGCGUACCUUUUGUAUAAUGGGUCAGCGACUUAUAUUCAGUGGCAAGGUUAACCAUCUAGGGGAGCCGUAGGGAAACCGAGUCUUAACUGGGCGUUCAGUCUCUGGAUAUAGACCCGAAACCAGGUGAUCUAGCCAUGGGCAGGUUGAAGGUUGAGUAACAUCAACUGGAGGACCGAACCGACUAAUGUUGAAAAAUUAGCGGAUGACUUGUGGCUAGGGGUGAAAGGCCAAUCAAACCUGGAGAUAGCUGGUUCUCCCCGAAAGCUAUUUAGGUAGCGCCUCGGACGAAUACUACUGGGGGUAGAGCACUGUUAAGGCUAGGGGGUCAUCCCGACUUACCAACCCUUUGCAAACUCCGAAUACCAGUAAGUACUAUCCGGGAGACACACGGCGGGUGCUAACGUCCGUCGUGGAGAGGGAAACAACCCAGACCGCCAGCUAAGGUCCCAAAUUACUACUAAGUGGGAAACGAUGUGGGAAGGCUCAGACAGCCAGGAUGUUGGCUUAGAAGCAGCCAUCAUUUAAAGAAAGCGUAAUAGCUCACUGGUCGAGUCGGCCUGCGCGGAAGAUGUAACGGGGCUAAGUAGUAAACCGAAGCUGCGGCAAUAUACUUUUGUAUAUUGGGUAGGGGAGCGUUCUGUAAGCGGUUGAAGGUGUGUGGUAACGCAUGCUGGACGUAUCAGAAGUGCGAAUGCUGACAUGAGUAACGAUAAAGGGGGUGAAAAACCUCCUCGCCGGAAGACCAAGGGUUCCUGUCCAACGUUAAUCGGGGCAGGGUAAGUCGACCCCUAAGGCGAGGCCGAAAGGCGUAGUCGAUGGGAAACGGGUUAAUAUUCCCGUACUUCUUACAAUUGCGAUGGGGGGACGGAGAAGGCU